rnacentral:tRNA from 1 species
GCCCGGGUGGCGGAAUUGGUAUACGCGGCUGACUUAAAAUCGGCUGUCCCUAGGACAUGUGGGUUCAAGUCCCACCCCGGGCA